rnacentral:lncRNA from 1 species
UCCAAUUGGAAUUUUUCGCUUUUUUGUGCUUAAAAUAAAGUCAUUAAAUUUAAUUUAACAAUAAUAAUUAUUACAUUUAAUAAAUAAUGACCAUAAAAAAAAUAUUCGCGUACCUGGUCUACCCAUGGAAUUUUGGAACUCUCAGAUCCAGAUGUUAUUUAUUAGGACCACAAGAUUCAGAAUCAGCCAUCUACGGCAAGCACAAAACAAGAAACAUUAUGGCACCAAACUGGGACCAUCAUUCCAGAAUGGUUUUUCUGUUCUGCAAAUUACAACUGUUUAUCUUCACUGCUUCGGUUUUAUUCCUAUAAUAACAAGGUCUCAGAGGAUAAUUUCACAUGCAAUAUUCAUGCUGUCAACUCAGCUUCUGGGCUCAAUGGUUUGAAGAGAGAUUCUAUUUCACUUUGAUCUACUUCUUCCAAGCUUNNNN